rnacentral:sRNA from 12 species
UAUCGGCGUACAACGAUGGGGACGCGCUCCUCGAUGUGGUGCCGAGGGAAACGAGCCACAGCAACAGCGUCUCAUGAAAGGACGGAAAGCUGAAACAUCAAGUGUCGGGCAAUAGAGUUUGGUAGGCCGGUAACGGUUCGAAGAAGUUUGGCCCG